GCGGUCGACGUUUUCGCCGAUAAACGACUCGAAUGGAUGACCGAACACCUCGAAAACAAUUCCGCGACGCUCUGCAUGGCGAUUUGAUGAGACGUUUUCUUGAAACAAAAACGAUAAAAAUAGUGGAAUUUUUCUCUAGAAUAUGUUGGAGCAGUACUGCGACUCGACUCUCCCAAUUACUUUCAACGGCGAUUGACGCUCACCACAUUUCGCAAUUAGCUGCAAUUUCAAAUCGAGCGGUAACUCUGAAAAAACGCAUUUCAAUCACUUCUUUUUUUACAAUAACUCGUACGUUUUGCCAACAGAACGCUUAAAAAAGGAAUGCUUUCAUUUAUAUGAAAAAAUUUCUGUCGCGAUAUAAUGUGUCUCGAUAUCAAUAUAUAUUAAUAUAACAUAAUAAUAGAAUUAUGUCAAUGUAACAUCACAUACACAAUACGGUAUAAUAUUGAUUAAUAUUAAAUCACAUUAUAACA